rnacentral:rRNA from 1 species
UACGAAGGGGGCUAGCGUUGCUCGGAAUUACUGGGCGUAAAGCGCACGUAGGCGGUCUUUUAAGUCGGGGGUGAAAUCCUGGAGCUCAGCUCCAGAACUGCCUUCGAUACUGGAAGACUUGAGUCCGGGAGAGGUGAGUGGAACUGCGAGUGUAGAGGUGAAAUUCGUAGAUAUUCGCAAGAACACCAGUGGCGAAGGCGGCUCACUGGCCCGGUACUGACGCUGAGGUGCGAAAGCGUGGGGAGCAAACAGG